rnacentral:tRNA from 1 species
GUGUUUAUAGUAUAUUCAAUACUUUAGCUUUUCGUGCUAAAAAUAUGAUAGCAUUUCAUUAAACACC